rnacentral:rRNA from 1 species
UACGAAGGGGGCUAGCGUUGCUCGGAAUCACUGGGCGUAAAGCGCACGUAGGCGGAUCGUUAAGUCGGAGGUGAAAUCCUGGAGCUCAACUCCAGAACUGCCUUCGAUACUGGCGAUCUUGGAGUCCGGGAGAGGUGAGUGGAACUCCGAGUGUAGAGGUGAAAUUCGUAGAUAUUCGGAAGAACACCAGUGGCGAAGGCGGCUCACUGGCCCGGUACUGACGCUGAGGUGCGAAAGCUAGGGGAGCGAACAGG